rnacentral:rRNA from 1 species
CGAAACUAUAAAGAUAAAUUAAGAUUUAGUUUAGAACUAUUACUAAUAUAAAAGCUAUUUAAGAAAAAUCUUGGUAGUAUAGAUAAUGUUAUCGGGUAUAGUUAUAGCUAAUAGAAGAAUAAAAGUGGUCAUUUAAGAUUUAUGGGUAAAUUUCGUAAAUUAGGUUAUACUAACAAUUAAUAAGAAAAUAAUCAAAGGCGAGGAGUACCUAUGAUAAAAAAGUGUUUCUACUUUAAAAUUUUUAAUAAUACUAGUUUUGGUAGUAUUUUUCAUAAUAAUUAAAAAGAUAGUGCUGGAAUUAGUAAAAGAGCAAAGUUAUAGGAACUCGAAAAUAUUCCAACUGUUUAGCAAAAACAUUUUCUUUAGAAAAAAUUAAAGAUAGAGCCUGCUCAAUGUUUAAAAUAAAUAGCCGCGGUAUUUUAACUGCGCGAAGGUAGCAUAAUUAAUUGUCUUUUAAUUGGUGACUUGUUUGAACGGCUAAAUGAGAAUAUUUCUUUCUUUAACUUCAAUAAAAAUUAUUUUCUGUGGUUAAAAAACCCAGAUAUAUAAGAAAGAAGAGAAGACCCUGAUGAAUUUUACAAUAAUCAAAAAUUGUUUAAAUGGGGCAUUUCGAUUUCUAUUAAAUUCGUUUUGGAUCCUACUAUGAGGAUAAAGGUUAAAAUUACCACAGGGAUAACAGGACAAGAUUUGUU